GCGCUCGCUUUGGCAGCACAUAUACUAAAAUUGGAACAAUACCCAGAAGAUUAGCAUGGCCCCUGUGCAAGGAUGACACGCAAAUUCGUGAAGCAUUCCAUAUUUUU
rnacentral:snRNA from 1 species